UCCCAUUAGAUACUAAUCUUGGGUUCUGUAAAUGUCCAGAUAUAACGUAUGAGAAUGAGGUGUGCGCAUUAAGUUCCAUUCAAUACGUAUGUAUGUGUAUACAUGUCAGAUUAUGUGUGUGUAUUCCUGAACUACUUGUUGGGAGGUUCUGUUUCAAAGACUUGGAUCUGAUCUGUGGCUGUCAUCUUCAGGGGGCGCAGUACGGGUACGGCCUCCUCGCCCUUGCGAAAUUGGUUAUACUGAUCCAGGACUGAAUAUAAUACAUAUUAUGUAAUGUACAGCUGCAUGUCAAAUAAGCACGGGCUACUCCGAGGAAGCUAUCUGUAGCACCCGGAAAAAAAAAAAAAAAAAAAAAAAAAAAAAAGGGGGGGGCCACGUCAGCAGCCACGUCAGCAGGCCCGGUCAGCAGUCCCGGCCAACCGGGGCCUGCCACGUGGCAAGAUCGCGUCACUCCAAAAGGAGCCACGUUGGCGAUCCGCGUGGGUGCGAUCCGACGGCCCAGAUCAAUCGCGCGAUCGGACGGUCCAGAUUCAAACGCACGGACGGCCCAGAUUCAAUCAAAAACGAACGGCCCAGAUUAAAACGAAAUGAACGGCUGUGAUCAAAAAGCAAGGGGUUAUAAAUAGAACCCCCACACCAGACCACAAACCCUAUCCGCCAGCCGCUCGCCGGAGAAGACGAACCAGAGGCCGACCGCCGCCUCCCGCCGCCACUCGCCGCCGCACCGGGGAAAUUUCCGACCGCCGAUCGAGGUAAAUUUCAUACCCCCGACUGUUUUUCCCCACUGAUUCCUCCUAUGGCCAAAUCGAAGCCGAAAUCCCGGCCAAACGGCCGGAAUACGCGGCCGAAGCCCAGCGGCGCCGCCGCGCCCCCUCUCGGUUUUUGCCUCCGACGAGGCCCUUCCCGGCCUCCGUUCGAUGCAAUUUUUAUAUCACCGUGAUCACCAUUCUUU
rnacentral:lncRNA from 1 species